rnacentral:lncRNA from 1 species
UCAAACUAAAUGUAAGGAACCAACAGACAGAAAGACACCAAAUUGACAAACUAAGAAUCAAAAAUUGACAAGACGGAUGUGCUUAACACGAAGUUUUCCCUAAGCAUGCAAUCCUAGGUUAAUUGAUAUUAAUAUUGACUCAACAAAAACAAUUCAAAGCAAGCAAACAAAAUAGACACUUAAAACAACAAGUAUUAAGUACAACUAUUUUGUGAAAAUACUACCCAAAUUUGCCCUAAACCUACCCC